CAAUUUUAGGGUGUGUAAAAAAGGGAGAAGACGGGAAAAAUACAUAUGGUGGAAUGAUUCAUCACCAAGAGAGGAGAAUGGCAUGGAAUGACAGCAGUCAGCUGCCCUCAAGGAGCAAGGCGGUGUUAAGCUUCUGUCUUAAGUUCUAAACAUUUUUGGCCUCUAAAUUUGUUGUUUUGUGUUUGUCAGUUGGCGGUGGAGGGGUCUUCCAACCCAAAGAAAACCCAGGUUGGGUGUCAACUGACUUCAUGUGUGGGCCAUCACUGAAUUUUGUUCAACCACUGUUGGCUGCCCUGUUUCCCCUGGGGGCUCCCUGGGAUGCUGAGAGCAGAGGGCUGAAGGAAGGAAGGAAGAGCAGGAAGAGCGAGGCUGCCCUUGCCGGGCGCUCUCCUGUCUGGGGCAGCCGAGAUGUGUUCGGGAGUUGGGGCAAUCACCGCGGCUCCUCCUAGACCUUGCCAGGCCCCAGGAAGCAGCAACGGGCAGCCACCGUGGGACCAGAUGAGAACCUGCCUGCUGCGUCCCCUCACAGUCCCAUCA
rnacentral:lncRNA from 1 species